UACGUAGGGGGCGAGCGUUAUCCGGAAUUACUGGGCGUAAAGCGCACGCAGGCGGUUCGCCAAGUUUUGGAGUGACAGUUGUCGGCUCAACCGACAAAGGACUUCAAAAACUGGUGAACUUGAGGACGAGAGAGGAACAUGGAACUCCAGGUGUAGUAGUAAAAUGCGUAGAUAUCUGGAAGAACACCAAUGGCGAAGGCAAUGUUCUGGCUCGUUUCUGACGCUCAGGUGCGAAAGCCAGGGGAGCCGAACGGG
rnacentral:rRNA from 1 species